GGCUCGGUAGCGAAGGGUCCGUGUCUGCUUUCAAUAAGGUCUUUUUCACCGCCAUGUUUAGCAGAGACAGUCUGUUCGACUCAGGCCCGAGCCA